rnacentral:rRNA from 1 species
CUGCGGGCGGCUCCAGUGAGGAAUAUUGCACAAUGGGGGGAACCCUGAUGCAGCAACGCCGCGUGGAGGAUGACGCAUUUCGGUGUGUAAACUCCUUUUAUAUGUCAAGAAAAUGACGGUAGCAUACGAAUAAGCACCGGCUAACUCCGUGCCAGCAGCCGCGGUAAUACGGAGGGUGUAAGCGUUACUCGGGAUCACUGGGCGUAAAGGACGCGUAGGCGGGUUGGAAAGUCAGGUGUGAAAUCCUACAGCUUAACUGUAGAACUGCACUUGAAACUUCUAAUCUAGAGUAUGGGAGGGGGAGAUGGAAUUAGUGGUGUAGGGGUAAAAUCCGUAGAUAUCACUAGGAAUACCUAAAGCGAAGGCGAUCUCCUGGAACAUUACUGACGCUAAGGCGUGAAAGCGUGGGGAGCAAACAGGAUUAGAUACCCUCGUAGUC